AUUUUUAGUAGAGAUGGGGUUUCACCAUGUUGACCGGGCUGGUCUUGAACACCUGAACUCAGGUGAUCAGCCUGCCUCGGCCUUCCAAAGUGCUGGGAUUACAGGUGUGAACCACUGCGCUCAGCCAGGGGUGCAUUUUUGAGUAGUAAAUGUGGGGAACACGGCUAUAGCACAUAAACCCCAGCAACCAUGCGGCUGCCACCAGGUUUGAGGGGACGCUGGUGGCCCCCUUCCACUGGGCAGCUUGCUCCUUCCGCCCUGUAAUGUGAUGUUCCUUGAAGUGUGCUUCAAAUUCCUUAGCUAUAACGUUUUAUUUCAGAAUAAAAAUAAAUAACCAGGUCAGGAAAAGAAAACUGAUGGCAAGCCUUGCUGUGCGAGAGGAAUUUUUUUUGUUUUUUUUUUUUUUACAGGUGACAAUUCCCAGUUAAACAUUUUCACACAGUCAAGGAGGGGGACAGCUUGGGCUCACAACAAUGCUGCUAGAAAAUCGGCCGGGCACGAUGGCUCAUGCCUGUAAUGCCAGCACUUUGGGAGGCCGAGGCAGGCAGAUCACAUGAGGUCAGGAGUUUCAGAUUAGCCUGGCCAACAUGGUGAAAAGUCGUCUCUACUAAAAAUACAAAAAUUGGCCAGGUGUGGUGGUGGGCACCUGUAAUCCCAGCUACUCAGGAGGCUGAGGCAGGAGAAUUGCUUGAACCUGGGAGGUGGAGUUUGCAGUGAGCUGAGAUCACACUACUACACUUCAGCCUGGAAAACAGAGUGACACUCUGUCUCAAAAAUAAAAUAAAAUAAAAUAAUGGACUGGAAAAAUCACUCAUGGGCCAAGCAGAUUGCUUGAUGGCUUGCCCAAGAGAUAUUUGAAAAUAUUAAGAGAAAUAGGAAUUAUGGAUCACGAUGGGCCCUUCAAAGAGGAGAAGAACGAUGCAUCGUCACCUUCUGCAGAAGAUGAAUGACAGAGAAAAGAUAGAUGCGCUCAGGCCGGGCGCCGUGGCUCACGCCUGAAAUCCCAGCACUUUGGGAGGCUGAGGUGGGUAGAUCACGAGGUCAGGAGAUCGAGACCAUCUUGGCUAACAUGGUGAAACCCUGUCUUUACUAAAAUACAAAAAUUAUUAUAUUUUUGUAGAAAUGUGGUGGCAGAUGUCUGUAAUCCCAGCUACUUGGGAGGCUGAAGCAGGGGAAUCACGUGAAUCUGGGAGGUGGAGGUUGCUGUGAGCCAAGAUCACACCACUGCACUCCAGCCUGGCAACAAGAGCAAGACUCUGUCUCAAAAAAAAAAAAAAAAAAAAAAAGAAUAAAGAAAAAAGAAAAGAUAGUGGUUCACGCCUGUAAUCCCAGCACUUUGGGAGGCCGAGGCGGGCAGAUCACGAGGUCAGGAGAUCGAGACCAUCCUGGCUAACACGGUGAAACCCUGUCUCUUCUAAAAAUACAAAAUAUUAGCCGGGUGUGGUGGCGGGCGCCUGUAGUCCCAGCUACUGGGGAGGCUGAGGCAGGAGAAUGGCGUGAACCUGGGAGGCGGAGCUUGCAGUGAGCCGAGAUUGCACUACUGCACUCCACCCUGGGCAACAGAGUGAAACUCCGCCUAAAAAAAAAAAACAUAGAUACGCUGUUUUUUUUCUUUUUUUUUCCACACUAGAGUUUUAUACUCUUCUCACAUAGUUUUGUUCUUUUCAGUAAAAGUAAUUCAUUAAAUCUAAACCUAGCUGUGAUGGUUUCUUGUUUCUUUGCAGGAUGUAUUUUGUUUUGCUUGUUAAACAAGUAACUCUACAAAUCGGAAAAUGUGCCUUGUCAGUAUACCCCAGCCCCCAGCAUCCGUCUAACCAGAAAGAAAACAUGUGAGAUGUCUGAAAUAACAGAGAUUCAAAGGCAUUGGCUUCGACGGCUUGAGCAUUUACCAGGACUACCAUCUGCAACACAUUUUUUGUUUUUUUGUUUUUUGCCAUAUACAUUGAGUGGAAAAAAAAUUAGAGGAAAGAGAAAGAAAUGGUCACAGCUAGGGGAGGGCAGGAGUUCUGGUGUGAGGGGAAGGGGCUGGGCAGGGCAGGAGGGUGACAUAGCCAGAGCCCAGCCUCCUGUCCUGUCCUGCAUUCUCCCCCACGGCAGAGGGGACCAUGGAGGGUGCUCAGGUCAGGAAAUGGAUCUGUCACUUCUCAAACUAUAGAUGACGCCAAUGACUGACAUAAUGAAGGAGUGUGAGAUUUCCCUUCAGCUCAAGGCUUGGAGUUUGCUGCCCUGGCCAUCCUUGUGCAGAGACAUGGGGUCUCCAGAACUUUUUGUUUUCUUCUUUUUUUUUUGAGACAGAGCCUCACUCUGUCACCCAGGCUAGAGCGCAGUGGUGUGACCUCAGCUCACUGCAACAUCUGCCUCCCUGGUUCAAGCGAUUCUCCUGCCUCAGCCUCCCAUGUAGCUGGGACAACAGGCGCACGCCACCAUGCCCAGCUAAUUUUCGUAUUUUUUUUUUAGUACAGAUGGGGUUUCACCAUGUUGGCCAGGAUGGUCUCUAUCUCUUGACCUCGUGAUCCGCCUUGGCCUCCCAAAGUGCUGGGAUUACAGGCAUGAGCCAUGGUGCCUGGCCUUGUUUUUGUUUUUGAGACAGAGUCUCGCUCUGUCGUCCAGGCUGGAGUGCAGUGGUGCAAUCUCGGCUCACUGCAACCUCCGCCUCCUGGGCUCAAGAGAUUCUCCUGCCUCAGCCUCCUGAGUAGCUGGGAUUAUAGGUGCCUGCCACCAUGCCCAGCUAAUUUUUGUACAUUUUAGCAGAGAUGGGGUUUCUCCAUGUUGUCCAGGCUGGUCUUGAACUCCUACGAACUCCAGAACUUUUAUUUUAUUUUAUUUAUUUUUUUCGAGACGGAGUCUUGCCCUGUCGCCCAGGCUGGAGUGCAGUGGUGCAAUCUCGGCUCACUGCAACCUUCGCCUCCUGGGUUCAAGCAAUUCUCCUGCCUCAGCCUCCCGAGUAGCUGGGAUUACAGGGUCACGUUACCACGCCUGGCUAAUUUUUGUAUUUUUAGUAGAGAUGGGGUUUCACCAUGUUGGCCAGGCUGGUCUUGAACUCCUGACCUCAGGUGAUUCAACCACCUCAGCCUCCCAAAGUGCUAGGAUUACAGGCGUGAGCCACCACGCCCGGCCAUCCAGAGCUUUUAAAUUCUCCCGAAGGACUUAGGACCGAUCCUUUCCUCCCCACCAGGGUCCUGCUUCUCUUUUCUCUUCCUCCCUUUCUCUUGCUUUGUUAAUUCUUCUUCACUCCCUUGGUCCAUGGCCACUCCCAGUGCCAUCAAGCCCAGAUGGGACCCCAUGGGGUCAAGAGGGUGUUGCCCUGGGAUGCUGACCUCAUGCUCUGAGCAGUCUCCCCAGGUAUCCUGAUCUCAUGGGGGGAAGCUGCUGACAGAUGGUGCUGAUGUGAACAGCACCUCCAGGCUACUGGACCUUGUAACCAAGGUUCAGAGCUCAGAGCACAUGUGCUGGUACCAGAGAGUCUCAGGGGUCCUGAGCCAGCAUCCCCCACGCCACAUAAACAAGCAAAGCGGGCCAUCUUGUCCUGCCACUGUGUGGCCCUAAAAAAGAGGGGGUGCCAGAUGCAGUAGCUCAUACCUGUAACUUCAGCACUUUGGGAGGCCGAGGUGGAGGAUCACUUGAGGUCAGGAGUUCCAGACCAGCCUGGCCAACAUGGUGAAACCCCGUCUCUUACUAAAAAAAAAAAAAAAAAAAAAAAUUAGGUGUGGUGGCAGACGCCUGUAAUCCCAGCUACUCAGGAGGCUGGGGCAGGAGAAUCACUUGAACCUGGGAGGCAGAGGUUGCAGUGAGCCAAGAUUGCGCCACUGUACUCCAGCCUGGGUGAGAAGAGCGAGAAAAAAAAAAAGGUGGAAUUUUCUGGAUAGUGGCAGGAAGCUGCUGGAUCAGGCCAAGUCCCGUGGUAAGUCGCCCCUUCCUUACAGCUUUCUGUGCCAACCUGACGUUCCUAAGCUGGGACACACAAGGGUUAGUAAGCGAGGGUCAGGUGUCCAGUUCUGUCCUGCUUUGAGGGGGAAAAGGCGAGUGCAAGGGUAGACCGGCAUUGCCUUAGUCAGCCCCAGUGUGCAGGGGCCUUUUGCCUUUACUAAGAGCAAACCCAGACCUGGUGCACUGACUCACACCUGUAAUCUCUGCACUUUGAGGGGCUGAGGUAGGAGGAUCACUUGAGGCCAGGAAUUCAAGACCAGAGUGGGGAACAUAGCAAGAACCUGUUCCUCAAAAAUCAGCCAGGUCUAGUGGCCUGUGCCUGUGGUUCCAGUUACUCAGAAGGCUGAGGUGAAAGGACUGCCUGAGGCCAGGAGUUUGAAACGAAUCUGGGCAACAUAGCAAGACCCCUCUCUACAAUUUUUUUUUAAUUAGCUGGAUGCAGUGGCUCACACCUGAAAUCCCAGCAGUUUGAGAUGUGAAGGUGGGAAGAUCUCUUGAGGCUAGGAGUUCAGGCCCAGCCUGGGCAACAUAGCAAGAUUCCAUCUCUACAAAAAUAUUUUUUAAAAAAUUAGCCAGGCAUGGUGAUGUGUACCUGUAGUCUCAGUUACUCAGGAGGCUGAGGUGGGAGAAUCAUUUGAGCCCAGGAGUUUGAGGCUGCAGUGGGUCAUGAUUGCACCACUGCACUCCAGCCUGGGCCACAGAGCAAGACCCCAUCUCAAAUAAAUAGAUAAAUAAGUAACACUAAACCCUCAAAGCCAAAGAAGCUCUCCUCCUACAUCUCCAUCACUCCCCUCCCCACCUCCAGUUCUGGAGAAAUCAAGACACAAAGGAGGCUGCUCUGGGAAGUGCUAACAUGUAUUUAUUCCACAAGGUGGGAGAUGGGGUGAGGAGAUGAUCACCAGUAAGAUGUCACAAAAUGAGACACUGCGAAUCCCACACAGGGCAAGGGGGCAGCUACAGGGUUCAGCUCUGGGCAGGGCUUGGCCAGGGACAGUGUGGGGAAAAAGAGAUGGGGACUGGGAGAUGGGACAGCCUCCCAGCGGGGGCACCCCACAGGGCAGGGCUGAGACACAUCCUUCCGGCCAGUGACAUGGGGCCAAACCCACACCCUUCUCAUCCCUCGUCCCCAUCCAGGUGAGUAAUGAAGCAGCAAGCCCAAGGCCACACAGCUAGGUCAGCAUCGUCACACACUCCGGAACGCACAGCCAGACACACACACACACACCCUGCCACGCACAGCACACAGGCACACACACGCUUGUGCAUGCACACGCGUUCAUAUAUUAACUCUGAUUUAUAUGUGCACCCUAACCAGAGGGCAAUCGAAAAAAAAUACUCUUCAGAGAGGAAACGACUGCCUUCUCCUCUGCCAGCCAGCAGAGCGUGGGGUGAAAUGAGGUGAGCCAAAAGCAUCUUCAAGGGUCCUGGCAGCCUUUGCUUCAGCCCUUAGGUUCUGGAUGGAGGACCGCUGCUUCUCCCUGGUGGCAGCCUCUGGGAGUCAGGGCUCCCUGGUCCUUGACCCAGCUCCAUCCUGCGGGGCCCUUGUGGCUGAGAUCCUACUGCAGGCUUAGCCUAUUUCUGUCUCUGGCUUCCUCUAGACACAGGCAGGAGACCUGGCCCAAGCACACUGAUAAGAGCCUAGUGCCCAGGUGAUUAGGAGAGAAAGCAUCAGCUCCAUCAGGUCAUCUCAGGAGGGGCCAGAAAAGUCCAGAGCUGCAGUGCCCAAAGCUACCCUGGUGGGAAGGGUUAGGGGCAGUAGCUGCCUUGGGGCGUGAACAGGCAGGUGUCAUCUGGGUAGAAGUAACCUCGGACGAAAUAGUGCCCGGUCCUCACUGCCUCCUUUUAGGGUGGGGAGCUAGGACAUGGCUGAAGCCCCCGCUGCCUCCCACCGUGUUGAUGGCUGGAGUUCAGCAGCUGCUGCUGCAAGAGAUGAGACACAGGAGGGGACCCUGCCAGUCCCAGAUCCUGAUUCUGGGAUGGGAGAUGUGGAGAACUGGACAGUCUUGCUCCUCAGUACCAGGUCCACAUCAGAGGCUGUGGAAGACAGCUCUCAGUUUCCCAGAGGAAGGGUGGGGGGCUUUUCCAGGGUGCAGGAAACUUGUGGGCAGCUGAAUGCCUGAGGGGGGACAGAGUCUUCAUCCGGGGUCCCUGUGCUGCCCUGGAGAAGCGCUGGGGGGCCCAUCGAGCACCUGCCGGUCCCUUGCUGUCUCUCCGCCAGGGCAGCUGGUCCAGAUGUUGGGGGGAGCAGCCAUGUCCUGGGGGCCAGGCUCCAGUGCCCCAGCUCCCUCCCUCUACUUGAUGGAGUUCUUAAUGGUCCACCUCUGACCUGUGCAGCUGCGGAGGAUGAGGUCGAUGCCAGCCAGGCCGCGGUUCUCCACCUCCAGGCAGCGUCCCGUGCCCUUGUUCAUGAUGGCUCCAUUCUGGGAGGGGGCAAAAUCGAGAAGAGAGGAGAAGAGAGAGAGGAGAGAGAGACAGCGAGAGAUAUAGAGAGAGGAGAAAGAGAGACAGGAGAGAGAAAAUGACAAAGAGAAAAAGAAAAAGAGAGAAGAUAAAGAGACAGAGAAAGAGGCAAAGAGAAGACAGAAAGAGGAGAGAGAGAGAGGGAAGAGAGGAGAAAGAGAAGAUAGAGACAGAAGAGAAAGAGACAGGAGAGAGAACGAGACAAAGAGACAAAGAGAAGACAAAGAAAGGGAGGAGGGGUAGAAAAAGAGGGAAGAGAGAAGAGAGAAGAUAGGAGAGAGAAAAAGAGAAAGAUAAAGGGGAGAGAGAGAAAAAAGAGAAGAGAGGAGAGGAACAGAGAGAAGACAGGAGAUAGAGGAGAGACAAGACAGAGAAGAAAGAGAGAAAGGGAGAGAGAGGCAGAGAGAGGGAGACAGAGGGAGAGAGGGAGGGAGAGGGAGAGAGAGGGAGUGCAAUAGGAGAGAGAAAGAGAGUGAGAGGCUUAACUAUCAUGGCGCCUGGCACAUAGCUUCUUGCAGAGAAUCAAUUCCACCAAAAUUCUUUGCAUGAGACUGGGGCAGGGAAGCAUGAGGACCUCCUCUGGGGACUCUGAAGUCAGUACCUAAAUAAGCUUCACCCAGUUGGAGUAUCUGAAUCAGGUGAGGAGCAUUGGUGGGGGAUGGGGUCAGGAUGUUGAGUUUCCUGGGAUAUUCUUGGUCUGAUGGUCUCAACCCCACUGGCUGUGGGUACUUAGUGGAUUUCAAGGAAGUCCCCCCUCACUCCUAUCUCAGGAUUGAUCAGAGCUCAACCAGCCUAGCACUGACGUAGGAAUCAGAAAUGCUACUCCAUGCAGAAACUCCACAGCUGCCCCCAGGAAGUGCUUUGGGUCCACAAGCCCAGCCCGGGGCAGGGAGACCUGGGUUCGGGGUCGCUAUUUGCUGGGGACCCCUGGGGAAGCAGGAUUCCCCUCUGUGGUCUGCAGCCUCUUGCAGCUACUCUGGGUGCUGGCUCUGUCCAUACAGCACUCACCUGGAUGAAGUUCCAGCGCUUGUACAGGCUGCUCUUGACCUUGUCGCAGUCCAGGAGCUGGGGCAGCCGACUCUUGGAGUUGUCCACCAGGCAGCGGGUGUCAGGGAGGAGUGUGGUGGUCCCCAGGGCACCCAAGUGCAGGAAGCCUUCCUUGGUAUAGCGGGCAAGCUGUCGAGAGACCAGAGCAGCAGGGGAAUGGAAGUGGGAGGCAGGAGUGAGACAUGGGAGAAAGCAGGGCUCAGGUCUCUCGGCUUUACUCCUGCUGUUUGUCAAUACUGCAGUCCUGGCCACCAUCCCAGCCUGUCACUCAGGCCAUAUGCUCACCUCACAGGACAGCCCUGUUCCAGAAAGCCACCCAGGCUUCUGAGCCUGGAUACAGAGUCCCCAGGGCAACUCUCUGAUCUUUUUUCCUUUUUUCUUUGAGAUGGAGUCUCACUCUGUUGCCCUGUCUGGAGUGCAAUGGCACGAUCUCAGCUCACUGCAACCUCCGCUUCCCAGGUUCAAGCAAUUCUCCUGCCUCAGCCUCCUGAGUACGUGGGAUUACAGCUGGCUGGGCCACCUUGAACAAGUAACCUGAGUCUCCAUUUCCUCCCCACUUACAAAGGGGGAUUGACUAAAUCUACCCUGCUGCAGAAGGCUCAAAGAAGCCAUUCACUGAAGAAGAAACAGACAUUAAAUAGUACUCAACCUCAUAGGUAUGAAAAGAAACAAAAAUCUAAAAUAAUGAGAUACCACAUUUUACAAAAGAGAUUAGGCCGGGCUCAGUGGCUCAUGCCCAUGAUCCCAGCACUUUGGGAGGCUGAGGCAGGCAGAUCACUUGAAGCCAGGAGUUCGAGACCAGCCUGACCAACAUGGCCAAACUCCGUCUCUUCUAAAACUACAAAAAUCAGCUGGGUGUGGUGGUGAGCAACUAUAAUCCAAGCUAUUCAGGAGGCUGAGGCAGGAGAAUUGCUUGAACCUGGGGGUGCGGAGGUUGCAGUGAGCGGAGAUCGUGCCACUGCACUCCAGCCUGGGCAACAGAGUGAGGAUCUGUCUCAAAAAACAAACAAAAACCAAAAAAAAAAAAAAAAAAACCCAAAAA